rnacentral:rRNA from 1 species
GACGAACGCUGGCGGCGUGCUUAACACAUGCAAGUCGAACGGAAAGGCCCUGCUUUUGUGGGGUGCUCGAGUGGCGAAAGGGUGAGUAACACGUGAGUAACCUGCCCUUGACUUUGGGAUAACUUCAGGAAACUGGGGCUAAUACAGGAUAGGAGCUCCUGCUGCAUGGUGGGGGUUGGAAAGUUUCGGCGGUUGGGGAUGGACUCGCGGCUUAUCAGCUUGUUGGUGGGGUAGUGGCUUACCAAGGCUUUGACGGGUAGCCGGCCUGAGAGGGUGACCGGCCACAUUGGGACUGAGAUACGGCCCAGACUCCUACGGGAGGCAGCAGUGGGGAAUAUUGCACAAUGGGCGGAAGCCUGAUGCAGCAACGCCGCGUGCGGGAUGACGGCCUUCGGGUUGUAAACCGCUUUCGCCUGUGACGAAGCGUGAGUGACGGUAAUGGGUAAAGAAGCACCGGCUAACUACGUG